UACAGAGGUCUCAAGCGUUGUUCGGAUUCAUUGGGCGUAAAGGGUGCGUAGGCGGCGUGGUAAGUCGGGUGUGAAAUCUCGGAGCUUAACUCCGAAACUGCAUUCGAUACUGCCGUGCUUGAGGACUGGAGAGGAGACUGGAAUUUACGGUGUAGCGGUGAAAUGCGUAGAUAUCGUAAGGAAGACCAGUGGCGAAGGCGGGUCUCUGGACAGUACCUGACGCUGAGGCACGAAGGCCAGGGGAGCAAACGGG
rnacentral:rRNA from 1 species